rnacentral:rRNA from 1 species
GCUAUUCAGAUGGCGACCGGCGCACGGGUGAGUAACGCGUAUCCAACCUUCCUGCCAGUAGGGAACAGCCCGGCGAAAGUCGGAUUAAUGCCCUAUGUUCUUCAAUGCGGACAUCUAAGUUGAAGGAAAGAUUCAUCGCUGGCAGAUGGGGAUGCGUCCGAUUAGCUUGCCGGCGGGUAACGGCCCACCGGGGCGACGAUCGGUAGGGGUUCUGAGAGGAAGGUCCCCCACACUGGUACUGAGACACGGACCAGACUCCUACGGGAGGCAGCAGUGAGGAAUAUUGGUCAAUGGGCGUAAGCCUGAACCAGCCAAGUAGCGUGCCAGGACGACGGCCCUACGGGUUGUAAACUGCUUUUAUGCGGGGAUAAAGUGCGGCACGUGUGCCGCUUUGCAGGUACCGCAUGAAUAAGGACCGGCUAAUUCCGUGCCAGCAGCCGC